rnacentral:rRNA from 1 species
GACGAACGCUGGCGGCGUGCUUAACACAUGCAAGUCGAACGGUAAGGCCCUUCGGGGUACACGAGUGGCGAACGGGUGCGUAACAAGAGGGUGAUCGGCCCUGCACUUCGGGAUAAGCCUGGGAAACUGGGUCUAAUACCGGAUAGGACCACUGACUGCAUGGGUGGUGGCGGAAAGUUUUUGCGGUGUGGGAUGGGCCCGCGGCCUAUCAGCUUGUUGGUGGGGUGAUGGCCUACCAAGGCGACGACGGGUAGCCGGCCUGAGAGGGUGACCGGCCACACUGGGACUGAGAUACGGCCCAGACUCCUACGGGAGGCAGCAGUGGGGAAUAUUGCACAAUGGGCGCAAGCCUGAUGCAGCGACGCCGCGUGAGGGAUGACGGCCUUCGGGUUGUAAACCUCUUUCAGCACCGACGAAGCGCAAGUGACGGUAGGUGCAGAAGAAGGACCGGCCAACUACGUGCCAGCCGCCGCCGUAAAAC